rnacentral:rRNA from 1 species
GAUGAACGCUGGCGGCGUGCCUAAUACAUGCAAGUCGAGCGAACAGACGAGGAGCUUGCUCCUCUGACGUUAGCGGCGGACGGGUGAGUAACACGUGGAUAACAUACCUAUAAGACUGGGAUAACUUCGGGAAACCGGAGCUAAUAACGGAUAAUAUAUUGAACCGCAUGGUUCAAUAGUGAAAGACGGUUUUGCUGUCACUUAUAGAUGGAUCCGCGCCGCAUUAGCUAGUUGGUAAGGUAACGGCUUACCAAGGCAACGAUGCGUAGCCGACCUGAGAGGGUGAUCGGCCACACUGGAACUGAGACACGGUCCAGACUCCUACGGGAGGCAGCAGUAGGGAAUCUUCCGCAAUGGGCGAAAGCCUGACGGAGCAACGCCGCGUGAGUGAUGAAGGUCUUCGGAUCGUAAAACUCUGUUAUUAGGGAAGAACAAAUGUGUAAGUAACUAUGCACGUCUUGACGGUACCUAAUCAGAAAGCCACGGCUAACUACGUG